GGUAAAUCAAAAAAGGACCGAUUUUUCUUACAAUUUUUGCCAGGAAAUUCUGGCUGCCAUUUUCCUCGCUUAAUUUUUCCAUUUUCUUUUUACAUUAUUCCCCAAUAUUGACAUUUAAGUAAUUGGAAUAAUCAGCUGUUUUUUAGUAAUUGUUCUUCUUCUUCUUCUAGCUAUCAAUUAUUUUCAGGGUUACCCCUUUUAAAGGCGCACACCACAAAGCCAACUAUCCUGCUGAUAUCCUUAUCGAAGGAUAGGGGGAAAAAAAGUGCGACCUUUGUUUUAAAAAUGCAAAAAAAACAUCAAUGGUUUGAUAGGGUAUUAAAAAAAUCGGUGUUUGGCAUCCCUAAAAAUCGCGGUCUGGCAUCCCUAACACUGAUUUUCCAAAAUGAAAUUUAAUUUUGGACUGAUUUAUUUAUUACAAUAAAAAGCUCCAUUAGCCCGUAGGAACAUGGUAUAAUGUUUACGUCAUACGCCACGCGAUAUCGUUUAGUCUGACGUAAGUUGGCUACCGAUAGUAGUGAUUACCGAUAGUAGUGAUGUUUAUGAAUGAAAACAAUCGGAGUACGCGUCUAUUGUAAUUUUUUUUUUGGCGGAUUGGAGCACGGACGGACGGAAAAUUUUGGAGCGGCAGAAAUGAUAAAAUUUUGGAUUGGUGACUGCCUACGUUUGGAUUAAACGAAAGGUAAGAUUGAGACCAGAUAUUUUCUUUUUCUGUAGGGGUACCCUCAACUAGGUCCACACUGUGGUCAGAUUGUUGGAUACGAUAUCAUUUCAAAUGCAUUUAGAUGUGUUUGAUCGUGUCUUCCCGCUUUCAGACUCUAACGUCGUAAAUCGAUGACUGACAGCUCUGCGACCUUGUGUACAACACUCUUCUGCCUUGUGCCAUAGUUGCGUAUGGGAAUAUAAAGGAAGAGUGCACAAAUGGUCAAGGACAGUCACAACGUGACUGCUCAGGAAUCGUAGACAUAUUGUUAGAGACGGUAAAUCUGGGAUGCUUCCUUUCGUAAUCCAACGGAUUCUUUCUGACCACUGCUGCUGGUGUCUAGACGAGUGGCCUCCUAUGGUUACAUGAAAAAAUUUUCAAUGGUCUUAAUGUUCGAAAAGACGACUAGAGAAUUUACUUAACUUGGAUAUCUAAUUCACAACAGACAUUAUUUACCUACAGGCGAUUUAAUUUGCCUCUCCUGUGAAACCAGGAAAUUAUACUUGAUGGUAAGUUCGAGUAAUCCUGUUCUCCUUUUUUCUCCAACAGGUGUACCAUCGACUAGACCUUCAUCUUUUGUCAGAAUGUCGGAUACGAUGGUUUGCAAAUGCCCUUAGGUGUAUUUGUUCUUUUUGUCUUCUGGCUUCCAGACUCUAGUGUCGUAAGUCGGGUGAAGCUUUAGAAAUGAAUGUAAGUUGUAGUUUUAAUUCUAUUUCGUAGUUUUCGUAAUUUGGCUCUGGAAAAUGAGAAAAAUUUCGAGAACUAUAUUUUUUUAUAAACAUAAAUUUUAUAAAAAAUUUCAGUCAAACCCCUUUGUAAGUAUGGCCUGAAAUUGACAUUUUCAAAUUUAAUUUUAUUUUUAAGUUGUUCAUUUUUAUUCGUAUUUUUCUAUUUCGCCAAUAAUCCUACAUAAUGAUAUUUCACUAAUUCAUAUUUUUUUCUUUUUCUUAAUGGAAAAAAAAAAACUGGAGAAAUGGGUUUCAACCUUUACCCAUACACAACUACACAUCACUCAGGAAGGAAAAGCUGUCCUACAGCUUGUUAAAAAAUUCGGGAAUACUAAAAGGACAUUUCGUAAGUAGAAAUUCAGGUACUACUUCUACUAAAUUCAAUUGGAUCUUCCGGAACUCUUGGAAAAUUCAGGUUAUUCUGUACGGCAUACAAAUUCUACUAUCCGGCAGAAUAAUUUUGAUGAAACAAACUGGAAAAAUUCAAAUACUGUUAGGUGGUGGAUUUCUGGUCAAAAUAGUGGGAUUUGGUGAGUUACACUGGCAAAACUGGAAUUGAAAUGGACUAAAAACGGACUGAAAAAUUAAAAUGGAAUAUGGAAUAGGCGGCUUGCACAGACAUCCUCAAGAAGUUCCAUGACAAUACGACCAAUGGUCGGAAGCCAAAAUUGUCGCAGGACCGAAGGAAACUCUGGACUGCGCUUUCUGAUGACAAAAAUUAUGGUGCAAUAAAGGCAGCUUGCAAUUGUGGUUCUUCCCAACAAGAAAGGCAAACAAAGGUGGAGUGUCGAUAGCACUUAAAAUCGACGAACAGAUUAAGAGCCUGGUUACCUAACCUUGAAUAGAGCUCUGUUCAACGUCGUGUACCUGCAGACUAACCAAAAGAAAAAACCGCGGAAUUUAAUUAUGAUGCUUCGUCGUCCGUCUGUCUGUCCGAGGUUUCUUGUAUAAAAUGUCGGUUGGGAAUACCAAGCCACGCUGGGUUAGCAAUGGCGCAAAAUCAGCGGCUCCCUCGAUGGAUUGGAUGGGCGAUGGUGUGGCUUGUAGGCUCCAACUCUUCAUGAAUUUUUAGGUUUAAGAUUUAUUUUCUUGCUUUAGAUUUUUAGUAAAUUGUUUUGGUUUUUUUUUUCUUUAAACUUUGUUAAAUUAUUUCCAAAAUUUAAUUUUAAAAAAAGUUCAAUUUACUUUUAACUUUCAAUUUUUGUGAAAACUAUUUGUUUAGUUAUAAGUUUUCCUUCAUCUUUUAGCAUUUUGUUUUUAAAUUUUGCUUAAUUAUUUUAAGGCUUCCAAUUUUGUUAAAAAAGUUUGUAUUUCGUGUUGUUUGUAUAUGUGUUUCAAAUAAAUAAAAACAUUGAAUUCACUUCUCAGCAAGUGGUUCAUCACCAAAUACUU